rnacentral:rRNA from 1 species
UACGUAGGGUGCGAGCGUUGUUCGGAAUCACUGGGCGUAAAGGGCGCGUAGGCGGCCCGCACAAGUCUGCGGUGAAAACCUCCGGCUUAACCGGGGGCCGGCCGUGGAAACUGUCGGGCUGGAGGCUGGGAGAGGGCAGCGGAAUUCCCGGUGUAGCGGUGAAAUGCGUAGAGAUCGGGAGGAACACCGGCGGCGAAGGCGGCUGCCUGGACCAGUCCUGACGCUGAGGCGCGAAAGCUAGGGGAGCAAACAGG